rnacentral:lncRNA from 1 species
GGUUAAAGAUGGAGUCUAGGGAACAGUCGAGAGUCACGCAAAUGUUAGAGGUGCCCUUGGCCUCAUGAGUGGUCGGUAGAAGGCGGCUGCAAGGAGCCUUUGAAAUGGUGCCGAGUUCUUCCUCUGCCAGAAAGCCUUUCCUCCGCGCUGACUGUGUCAAAGGCUACUCCCAGAGCACUCCAAUCAUUGUUCAAUGGAAGACUUAAAAGAAGCCCUGUGACUCGGGCUCAAAUCUGAAUAAGAUAGUUUCGAAGGAGAAGGAAGAGAAGUUAGAUAAAGAUGAGAAUUCAGAGGCGGAGAAGUAAGACAGGCAGAGAGCAGGUGUCACUCGGCUCAGAGGUGCACUCUGAUGGUGGCCAGGGACUUCGGAAGCUUUGAGAGCGAUGGCCGAUUUCCAGCAAUCCAGAGGGCUGUAUGGGGAACCCCUC